UACGUAGGAUGCAAGCGUUGUUCGGAAUUACUGGGCGUAAAGAGUACGUAGGCGGUUUGACAAGUCUGAUAUUAAAGACUGGAGCUUAACUCCAGGACUGUAUCGGAAACUGUCAGACUAGAGGACAAUAGAGGAAGUCGGAAUUCUCAGUGUAGCGGUGAAAUGCGUAGAUAUUGGGAAGAACACCAGUGGCGAAAGCGGACUUCUGGGUUGUUACUGACGCUGAGGUACGAAAGCGUGGGGAGCAAACGGG
rnacentral:rRNA from 1 species